AUGCGAUAAGUAAUGUGAAUUGCAGAAUUCAGUGAAUCAUCGAAUCUUUGAACGCACCUUGCGCCUUUUGGUAUUCCGAAAGGCAUGCCUGUUUCAGUGUCAUGAAAUCUCAAUCUAAUAUGUUUUCUGAACAUGUUAGGCUUGGACUUGGGUGUCUGCCAGCAAUGGCUCACCUCAAAUGACUUAGUGGAACAUCCCACAUCAGUGUUAGACGUAAUAAGUUUCGUCUCUCCUUGUGGUGAUGACUGCUCAAAACCUGCCAUCGCGCACCUUUUGACUUUGACCUGAAAUCAGGUAGGGCUACCCGCUGAACUUAA
rnacentral:misc_RNA from 1 species